rnacentral:rRNA from 1 species
AGUGGGGAAUUUUCCGCAAUGGGCGAAAGCCUGACGGAGCAACGCCGCGUGAGGGAUGAAGGCCUCUGGGCUGUAAACCUCUUUUCUCAAGGAAGAAGAACUGACGGUACUUGAGGAAUAAGCCACGGCUAAUUCCGUGCCAGCAGCCGCGGUAAUACGGGAGUGGCAAGCGUUAUCCGGAAUUAUUGGGCGUAAAGCGUCCGCAGGCGGCCCUUCAAGUCUGCUGUUAAAAAGUGGAGCUUAACUCCAUCGUGGCAGUGGAAACUGUUGGGCUAGAGUGUGGUAGGGGCAGAGGGAAUUCCCGGUGUAGCGGUGAAAUGCGUAGAUAUCGGGAAGAACACCAGUGGCGAAGGCGCUCUGCUGGGCCAUANNNACGCUCAUGGACGAAAGCCAGGGGAGCGAAAGGGAUUAGAUACCCCUGUAGUCCUGGCCGUAAACGAUGAACACUAGGUGUCGGGGGAAUCGACCCCCUCGGUGUCGUAGCCAACGCGUUAAGUGUUCCGCCUGGGGAGUACGCACGCAAGUGUG